UGAGCCCAUCACGGAUUUAAUCAAACAAAGCUUCUGAUUACGUUAUCGCUGCUUAGCGCCGUAUCACCUCCUUCUUCUCCCGAUCUCAGAAACCGAUCAAUCAGCUUUAAACCGAUCUUGAGUGAGGCAAUUCGACGUGAUGAAUCUCCAUUUGAAUCUUCAAUUGCGUCGUUUUGUAUUAUGUUCGAAACUUCUGAAACGUUACCAAAGAUUAAUUUCUCGCCAUUGCAUUCAAGCAUCGUCAUUAAAGCUCUCAUUGACACAAUCUUGCCAAUCAUACAUCCCCUCUUUUAUUCCCCUCAAUGAAUCUACAACUAUAAAUAUUAGAGUUUCUUUUCGUGAAAAUCAUCAGUUUCAUCAGUUUUUACUCAACUUCUCUCUCAUAUUCUCCGACUUGAAAGACGACCGUCGAGAUACGCCUGCUGAGAUUUUGGGAGUCGAGAUCUCUCCCUCUGUUCAAUAUCAAGUUUUUGUCACAUGAUUUAAGGAUCUUGAACCUGUUUAAGUCAGAACAGCCAUGGUAACACCAUUAGAAUUUGGAUUUGCGUACUCUUUGGUGAGCCCAGACUUGCAAGGACAACCACUGAAUGCAAUCACCACUGCUGUUGGUUUUGCUAUCUUCCGAGGAAUAUUUUUCAAAAUCUGAGCAUCUAACCAAGGAUAAGGCUUCUGAUACUAGACCAUAUCCAGAGGAUACCUGAGUUAAAGGGCAAACGAGGAACGUAGACAUUUUGUCUUAUAUGGCUUAUCACCAGAAUCAAUCAAUUCGUUUGGACCGUGAGGAUCUUAAAACACAUAAUGUAGUAUAUUAAACAAAAACACUAAUCAGCUAUAGCUUUACAUCGAUAAAUUCAAGAUAGUUAUUGAAAAUUGAAAAGACAAAUUUUCUAACAAACCUGAAAGUUAUUAUUUCAAUGAUUCUUUUUUUUUUUGAGCAACCAGAAAUUUGAUUAGUAAAAAUAGUCUCAGUGGGCUGUUGAAUAAUUUGCAGAAGCAGAAACAAGAUGGGCCUUAGCUAAAGAUUCUAAAACUAAGAAUUAUAAUGUUUGUACAUUUAACAAUAUUUUACAUAAAAACUUAUAAGAUAAAAUAAUAUUCAGAUCAAGUGUCCGAUUAGUUUGGUUAUAAAUAAAAUGCUUUAGAUCAAGUGUCCGAUUAGUUUACAUAUAAAUUUAUAAUGCAUAAAUUUUGUUGUAAGAAUUUAGUAUAUAGCUUUUAUCUAUGUAGUUGUAAGUUUUUUAGCUAUAGAAAAAUAUUAUAACUUUUAAACCUCUUACUUAAAAAAAAACAUGAACAAAAAACAUAGAAGUGUUGAUCUAACGGGGAAAAGAGCCCAUUAAAUACUAUAAACUAUUUCAUUUUGAAAAAACUAAAUUAAACAAUAAGUUAUAAAAAAUAUAUCGACCGAAACAUUUCUAUAGUCCAACUAAUCUAAUUA